rnacentral:tRNA from 1 species
GGUAGUGUGGCUGAGUGGUCAAAGGCUCUGGAUUAAGGCUCCAGUCUCUCAGGAGUUGUGAAUUCAAAUCCUACCAGUGCCA